UACGUAGGGGGCUAGCGUUGUCCGGAAUCAUUGGGCGUAAAGCGUGUGUAGGCGGUCCGGUAAGUCCGCUGUGAAAGUCGGGGGCUCAACCCUCGGAUGCCGGUGGAUACUGUCGGGCUUGAGUACGGAAGAGGCGAGUGGAAUUCCUGGUGUAGCGGUGAAAUGCGCAGAUAUCAGGAGGAACACCAAUGGCGAAGGCAGCUCACUGGGACGGUAUUGACGCUGAGACGCGAAAGCGUGGGGAGCAAACAGG
rnacentral:rRNA from 1 species